UGACAGAAGAGAGCUGGAACACCUCACUGUCUCUCUAUUCUCAUCUUUUGAAGCAGAAUGAAUUAACCAUGCAAUUUCUGGUACCAAAGUAAAAAUUGCCAGGUAAUCUGGAAGAUGUUACUGCACAACAUCUCCUUCAGACGCCACAUUCUAGACCUCGUCUUUUAACCUUGCUCCAUGGAUGUGCUAACCAUUCACAUUAUGGAGGACUCAUCUGACAGUGCAGUGUUUCGGGUCCAGGUUCAGUGUGCUGAUCCUCUCCUGCUAAACUUCUGGCUACAGAAGACCUUCUUCAACAAUGGGGAAGUCCAGCAGAUCAACACCCUAAGAAUAAACGACUGUCGUGGGCUAGUGUUUGUUUUGAGGGUGCUGCAUCGUUCUUCACGCCUCCCUAAUUCCCAUUAUUGGUGCCCUUUCCUAGUGACACUCUGCCUCGAUGCCCUGGCAUUUCACUACCACCUCCCCUCUGUGCCACAGUGGAACGGCACCCUUCGAGAGGCAAUGAGAGGAAACAGCCUGGAGCUCAGACGCUGAGAGACUAUGAGAUUUUUAUGAGCUUACAGAUCCUAUUAGUCUCUAUUAGUCAUCCUAAAGUGAUACACUGCAAGUAGUACGUCUUACCAUUGU